rnacentral:rRNA from 1 species
ACACAUGCAAGUCGAACGGGAAGCAAGCUUGCUUGGUGGAUCAGUGGCGAACGGGUGAGAACACGUGAGCAACCUGCCCUGAACUCUGGGAUAAGCGCUGGAAACGGCGUCUAAUACUGGAUAUGAGCUGCGGAGGCAUCUUCGUGGUUGGAAAGAUUUUUCGGUUUGGGAUGGGCUCGCGGCCUAUCAGCUUGUUGGUGAGGUAAUGGCUCACCAAGGCGUCGACGGGUAGCCGGCCUGAGAGGGUGACCGGCCACACUGGGACUGAGACACGGCCCAGACUCUACGGGAGGCAGCAGUGGGGAAUAUUGCACAAUGGGCGGAAGCUGAUGCAGCAACGCCGCGUGAGGGAUGACGGCCUUCGGGUUGUAAACCUCUUUUAGCAGGGAAGAAGCGAAAGUGACGGUACCUGCAGAAAAAGCGCCGGCUAACUACGUGCCAGCAGCCGCGGUAAUACGUAGGGCGCAAGCGUUAUCCGGAAUUAUUGGGCGUAAAGAGCUCGUAGGCGGUUUGUCGCGUCUGCUGUGAAAACCCGAGGCUCAACCUCGGGCCUGCAGUGGGUACGGGCAGACUAGAGUGCGGUAGGGGAGAUUGGAAUUCCUGGUGUAGCGGUGGAAUGCGCAGAUAUCAGGAGGAACACCGAUGGCGAAGGCAGAUCUCUGGGCCGUAACUGACGCUGAGGAGCGAAAGGGUGGGGAGCAAACAGGCUUAGAUACCCUGGUAGUCCACCCCGUAAACGUUGGGAACUAGUUGUGGGGUCCAUUCCACGGAUUCCGUGACGCAGCUAACGCAUUAAGUUCCCCGCCUGGGGAGUACGGCCGCAAGGNUAAAACUCAAAGGAAUUGACGGGGACCCGCACAAGCGGCGGAGNAUGCGGAUUAAUUCGAUGCAACGCGAAGAACCUUACCAAGGCUUGACAUACACGAGAACGCUGCAGAAAUGUAGAACUCUUUGGACACUCGUGAACAGGUGGUGCAUGGUUGUCGUCAGCUCGUGUCGUGAGAUGUUGGGUUAAGUCCCGCAACGAGCGCAACCCUCGUUCUAUGUUGCCAGCACGUAAUGGNGGGAACUCAUGGGAUACUGCCGGGGUCAACUCGGAGGAAGGUGGGGAUGACGUCAAAUCAUCAUGCCCCUUAUGUCUUGGGCUUCACGCAUGCUACAAUGGCCGGUACAAAGGGCUGCAAUACCGCGAGGUGGAGCGAAUCCCAAAAAGCCGGUCCCAGUUCGGAUUGAGGUCUGCAACUCGACCUCAUGAAGUCGGAGUCGCUAGUAAUCGCAGAUCAGCAACGCUGCGGUGAAUACGUUCCCGGGUCUUGUACACACCGCCCGUCAAGUCAUGAAAGUCGGUAACACCUGAAGCCGGUGGCCCAACCCUUGUGGAGGGAGCCGUCGAAGGUGGGAUCGGUAAUUAGGACUAAGUCGUA